rnacentral:SRP_RNA from 2 species
GCCGGGCAUGGUGGCGUGUGCCUGUAAUCCCAGCUACUCAGGAGGCUGAGGCAGGAGAAUCACUUGAACCCAGGAGGCAGGGGUUGCAGUGAGCUGAGAUCAUGCCACUGCACUCCAGCCUGGGCAACAGAGGGAGACUCCAUCUCAA